rnacentral:rRNA from 1 species
AGUGAACGCUGGCGGUAGGCCUAACACAUGCAAGUCGAACGGCAGCACAGUAAGAGCUUGCUCUUACGGGUGGCGAGUGGCGGACGGGUGAGGAAUACAUCGGAAUCUACUUUUUCGUGGGGGAUAACGUAGGGAAACUUACGCUAAUACCGCAUACGACCUACGGGUGAAAGCAGGGGAUCUUCGGACCUUGCGCGAUUGAAUGAGCCGAUGUCGGAUUAGCUAGUUGGCGGGGUAAAGGCCCACCAAGGCGACGAUCCGUAGCUGGUCUGAGGGGAUGAUCGGCCACACUGGAACUGAGACACGGUCCAGACUCCUACGGGAGGCAGCAGUGGGGAAUAUUGGACAAUGGGCGCAAGCCUGAUCCAGCCAUACCGCGUGGGUGAAGAAGGCCUUCGGGUUGUAAAGCCCUUUUGUUGGGAAAGAAAAGCAGCAGGUUAAUACCCCGCUGUUCUGACGGUACCCAAAGAAUAAGCACCGGCUAACUUCGUG